UGGGGAAUAUUGCGCAAUGGGCGAAAGCCUGACGCAGCGACGCCGCGUGAGGGAUGAAGGUUUUCGGAUCGUAAACCUCUGUCAGAAGGGAAGAAACCGCACUGUGCUAAUCAGCAGUGCCUUGACGGUACCUUCAAAGGAAGCACCGGCUAACUCCGUGCCAGCAGCCGCGGUAAUACGGAGGGUGCAAGCGUUAAUCGGAACUACUGGGCGUAAAGCGCACGUAGGCUGCUUUGUAAGUCAGGGGUGAAAUCCCACGGCUCAACCGUGGAACUGCCUUUGAUACUGCUUAGCUUGAAUCCGGGAGAGGGUGGCGGAAUUCCAGGUGUAGGAGUGAAAUCCGUAGAUAUCUGGAGGAACAUCAGUGGCGAAGGCGGCCACCUGGACCGGUAUUGACGCUGAGGUGCGAAAGCGUGGGGAGCAAACAGG
rnacentral:rRNA from 1 species